ACGGCUCAGUAACACGUGGAGAACUUGCCCUAGGCUGGAGAAUAAUCUCGGGAAACUGAGGAUAAUGCUCCAUAGCGCAUCCGUCCUGGAACGGUGGGUGCGUGAAAGCUCCGGCGGCCUAGGAUAGCUCUGCGGCCUAUCAGGUUGUAGCGAGGGUAACGUCCUCGCUAGCCUACGACGGGUAUGGGUGUUGGGAGACAUCACCCAGAGAUGGAUUCUGAGACACGAAUCCAGGCCCUACGGGGCGCAGCAGGCGCGAAAACUGCACAAUGUGGGAAACCACGAUGCGGGAAACCCAAGUGCCAGCACUAUGUGUUGGCUGUCCUCAAGUGUUCGUAACUUGGGAAGAAAGUGCUGGGUAAGACGGGUGCCAGCCGCCGCGGUAAUACCCGCAGCACAAGUGGUGGUCAUUAUUAUUGGGCCUAAAGCGUCCGUAGCUGGCCUGUUAGAUGCCUGGGUAAAUCGAUGCGCUCAACGCAUCGAACUCCGGGUAGACCGGCAGGCUCGAGACCGGGAGAGGCGUGGGGUACUCGGGGGGUAGGGGUAAAAUCCUGUAAUCCUCCGGGGACGACCAGUGGCGAAGGCGCCACGCUAGAACGGCUCUGACAGUGAGGGACGAAGCCCUGGGGCGCAAACCGGAUUAGAUACCCGGGUA
rnacentral:rRNA from 1 species